rnacentral:rRNA from 1 species
UACGUAGGGUGCGAGCGUUGUCCGGAAUUACUGGGCGUAAAGAGCUCGUAGGCGGUUUGUCGCGUCUGCCGUGAAAGUCCGGGGCUCAACUCCGGAUCUGCGGUGGGUACGGGCAGACUAGAGUGAUGUAGGGGAGACUGGAAUUCCUGGUGUAGCGGUGAAAUGCGCGGAUAUCAGGAGGAACACCGAUGGCGAAGGCAGUUCUCUGGGCAUUAACUGACGCUGAGGAGCGAAAGCAUGGGGAGCGAACAGG